GGAUUAAGAAAAUCACACAAAACCACACAACUACACAGAUAUUGAACAACCUCCUCCUGAAUGACUCCUGGGUAAAUAAUGAAAUUAAGGCAGAAAUCAGAAAGUUCUUUGAAA